GACUGCCUUCACUAAGGAUUUGAACCAACAACCUUGUAGUUGCAGGCCUCACACCUUAACAACUGUGCUAACAAGUCACUUUACACUUGAAAUAAG